rnacentral:rRNA from 1 species
UGCCAGCCGCCGCGGUAAUACGGAGGGGGCAAGCGUUGUUCGGAAUUACUGGGCGUAAAGGGCGUGUAGGCGGCGAUGUUAGUCAGGCGUGAAAGCCCCGGGCUCAACCUGGGAAUUGCGUUUGAUACUGCAUUGCUUGAGUCCGGGAGAGGUGAGCGGAAUUCCCAGUGUAGAGGUGAAAUUCGUAGAUAUUGGGAAGAACACCGGUGGCGAAGGCGGCUCACUGGACCGGUACUGACGCUGAGGCGCGAAAGCGUGGGGAGCAAACAGGAUUAGAUA